CGGCGGACGGGUGAGUAACACGUGGAUAACCUACCUAUAAGACUGGGAUAACUUCGGGAAACCGGAGCUAAUACCGGAUAAUAUAUUGAACCGCAUGGUUCAAUAGUGAAAGACGGUUUUGCUGUCACUUAUAGAUGGAUCCGCGCCGCAUUAGCUAGUUGGUAAGGUAACGGCUUACCAAGGCAACGAUGCGUAGCCGGCCCGAGAGGGUGAUCGGCCACACUGGAACUGAGACACGGUCCAG
rnacentral:rRNA from 1 species